rnacentral:misc_RNA from 1 species
UUUGAAUUAUCCAAUAAUGUUUAUACUCUGUCAUAAUCAACAGAAAUGAAAUUCAACACAUCAUAUAAGCCACAAUUAUCAACUGAAAUAUAUAUAUUAAAGCAAAAUGCCAUCAUUCCCUGCAAAUUUAAUGAGAAGGGAAAGGUAUCAAACCUAAAUAAAAAAAGCUAAAAUACAAUAUAAAUUGCAGAAUCUUUCUAGUCUAUCAUUUUAGUCAAGCGGUGAAUGGUACUCC